rnacentral:ncRNA from 1 species
GAGAAUCGGGCGGCUGUGCCGUCCGAAUUGUAGUCUGGAGACGCGUCCUCAGCGACGGACCGGGCCCAAGUCCCCUGGAAAGGGGCGCCUGGGAGGGUGAGAGCCCCGUCCGGCCCGGACCCUGUCGCCCCACCAGGCGCGGUCAACGAGUCGGGUUGUUUGGGAAUGCAGCCCAAAUCGGGCGGUAGACUCCGUCCAAGGCUAAAUACAGGCGAGAGACCGAUAGCGAACAAGUACCGCGAGGGAAAGAUGAAAAGGACUUUGAAAAGAGAGUCAA